rnacentral:rRNA from 1 species
ACUUGAAUAUUAGGAGUUAUGGGCUUUAAAUUCAAAGAAUUUGGCGGUAUUUUAGUCUUGUUAGAGGAACCUGUUCUGUAAGCGAUAUUACACGUAUAAUCUUACUUACUUUUGUUUUAGCUUGUAUACCGUCAUUAUUAGAUAACCUUUAUUGAGAGAGUUGUUGACCUAUAAAAAAAUUAGAUAUAUUAGAUCAAGGUGCAGUUAAUGGGUAAGUAGUAAUGGGUUACAAUGAAAUUUAUUUAAACGAAUUAAUGUUUGAAAAAUUAUUAUGAAGGAGGAUUUAAUUGUAACAUAAAUUUAAUAAGUUUAUGUGGUAUGAGAACUAGAAUAUGUACAUAU